AGACAGAGGUGGCAAGCGUUGUUCGGAAUCACUGGGCUUAAAGGGCGCGCAGGCGGUGGGGCAAGUCCGGUGUGGAAUCCUACGGCUCAACCGUAGAAUUGCACUGGAAACUGCUUCACUUGAGUCAGUGAGGGGAGGGCGGAAUUCCUGGUGUAGCAGUGAAAUGCGUAGAUAUCAGGAGGAAGGCCGGUGGCGAAGGCGGCCCUCUGGCACUAGACUGACGCUGAGGCGCGAAAGCGUGGGGAGCAAACAGGAUUAGAUACCCCAGUAGUCC
rnacentral:rRNA from 1 species